UAUAAGACUGGGAUAACUUCGGGAAACCGGAGCUAAUACCGGAUAACAUUUGGAGCCGCAUGGUUCUAAAGUGAAAGAUGGCUUUGCUAUCACUUAUAGAUGGACCCGCGCCGUAUUAGCUAGUUGGUAAGGUAACAGCUUACCAAGGCGACGAUACGUAGCCGACCUGAGAGGGUGAUCGGCCACACUGGAACUGAGACACGGUCCAGACUCCUACGGGAGGCAGCAGUAGGGAAUCUUCCGCAAUGGGCGAAAGCCUGACGGAGCAACGCCGCGUGAGUGAUGAAGGGUUUCGGCUCGUAAAACUCUGUUAUUAGGGAAGAACAAAUGUGUAAGUAACUGUGCACGUCUUGACGGUACCUAAUCAGAAAGCCACGGCUAACUACGUGCCAGCAGCCGCGGUAAUACGUAGGUGGCAAGCGUUAUCCGGAAUUAUUGGGCGUAAAGCGCGCGUAGGCGGUUUCUUAAGUCUGAUGUGAAAGCCCACGGCUCAACCGUGGAGGGUCAUUGGAAACUGGGAGACUUGAGUGCAGAAGAGGAAAGUGGAAUUCCAUGUGUAGCGGUGAAAUGCGCAGAGAUAUGGAGGAACACCAGUGGCGAAGGCGACUUUCUGGUCUGUAACUGACGCUGAUGUGCGAAAGCGUGGGGAUCAAACAGGAUUAGAUACCCUGGUAGUCCACGCCGUAAACGAUGAGUGCUAAGUGUUAGGGGGUUUCCGCCCCUUAGUGCUGCAGCUAACGCAUUAAGCACUCCGCCUGGGGAGUACGACCGCAAGGUUGAACUCAAG
rnacentral:rRNA from 1 species